UACGAACCGAGCGAACGUUGUUCGGAAUCACUGGGCGUAAAGGGCGCGUAGGCGGGUGCUCAAGUCCGGGGUGAAAUCCUCCAGCUCAACUGGAGAACUGCCUCGGAUACUGGGUGCCUCGAGUGUGGUAGGGGUGUGCGGAACUAUCGGUGGAGCGGUGAAAUGCGUUGAUAUCGAUAGGAACUCCGGUGGCGAAGGCGGCACACUGGACCACAACUGACGCUGAGGCGCGAAAGCCAGGGGAGCAAACGGG
rnacentral:rRNA from 1 species